AUUGAACGCUGGCGGAAUGCUUUACACAUGCAAGUCGAACGGCAGCACGGACUUCGGUCUGGUGGCGAGUGGCGAACGGGUGAGUAACAUAUCGGAACGUAUCCAAUAAUGGGGGAUGACGAGUCGAAAGAUUCGCUAAUACCGCAUACGCACUACGGGGGAAAGCUGGGGACCUUCGGGCCUGGCGUUAAUGGAGCGGCCGAUAUCUGAUUAGCUAGUUGGUGCGGUAAAGGCUAACCAAGGCGACGAUCAGUAGCUGGUCUGAGAGGACGACCAGCCACACUGGAACUGAGACACGGUCCAGACUCCUACGGGAGGCAGCAGUGGGGAAUUUUGGACAAUGGGCGCAAGCCUGAUCCAGCCAUUCCGCGUGAGUGAAGAAGGCCUUCGGGUUGUAAAGCUCUUCCGCAAGGGAAGAAAACUUAGCCACUAACAUUGGUUGAGGUUGACGGUACCUUGAUAAGAAGCACCGGCUAACUACGUGCCAGCCGCCGCAGUAA
rnacentral:rRNA from 1 species